CAGCAGCCGCGGGAAAACGUAGGUGGCAAGCGUUGUCCGGGAUUAUUGGGCGUAAAGGGCUCGCAGGCGGUUUAGUAAGUCUGGAGUUAAAGGCAUUGGCUCAACCAAUGUAUGCUUUGGAAACUGUUUGACUUGAGUGCAGAAGGGGAGAGUGGGAUUCCAUGUGUAGCGGAGAAAUGCGUAGAUAUAUGGAGGAACACCGGUGGCGAAAGCGGCUCUCUGGUCUGUCACUGACGCUGAGGCUCGAAAGCGUGGGUAGCGAACAGGAUUAGAUACCCCUGUAGUCCCUGUCUCUUAUACC
rnacentral:rRNA from 1 species